CCGGAUGGCGACCGGCGCACGGUGAGUAACGCGUAUGCAACCUGCCCGAUACCGGGGUAUAGCCCAUGGAAACGUGGAUUAACACCCCAUAGUACUUUUAUCCUGCCUGGGAUGGGAGUUAAAUGUUCAAGGUAUCGGAUGGGCAUGCGUCCUAUUAGUUAGUUGGCGGGGUAACAGCCCACCAAGACGAUGAUAGGUAGGGGUUCUGAGAGGAAGGUCCCCCACAUUGGAACUGAGACACGGUCCAA
rnacentral:rRNA from 1 species